rnacentral:rRNA from 1 species
CUACGGGGUGCUCCAGUGAGGAAUAUUGCACAAUGGGGGGAACCCUGAUGCAGCAACGCCGCAUGGAGGAUGACGCAUUUCGGUGUGUAAACUCCUUUUAUAUGUCAAGAAAAUGACGGUAGCAUAUGAAUAAGCACCGGCUAACUCCGUGCCAGCAGCCGCGGUAAUACGGAAGGUGCAAGCGUUACUCGGAAUCACUGGGCGUAAAGGACGCGUAGGCGGGUUGGAAAGUCAGGUGUGAAAUCCUACAGCUUAACUGUAGAACUGCACUUGAAACUUCUAAUCUAGAGUAUGGGAGGGGGAGAUGGAAUUAGUGGUGUAGGGGUAAAAUCCGUAGAUAUCACUAGGAAUACCUAAAGCGAAGGCGAUCUCCUGGAACAUUACUGACGCUAAGGCGUGAAAGCGUGGGGAGCAAACAGGAUUAGAUACCCGAGUAGUC